rnacentral:rRNA from 1 species
CCUAGGGGGCUGCAGUCGAGAAUCUUCGGCAAUGAGCGCAAGCUUGACCGAGCGACGCCGCGUGCGGGAUGAAGGCCCUCGGGUUGUAAACCGCUGUCGUAAGAAGGGAAAUCUAUCGGGGUUCUCCCCGGUAGUUGACCUGUCUUAGGAGGAAGUCCGGGCUAAGUUCGUGCCAGCAGCCGCGGUAAGACGAACCGGACAAACGUUAUUCGGAAUUACUGGGCUUAAGGGGUUCGUAGGCGGCCCCGUAGAAAGCCCUAGGCUCAACCGAGGAAGUGCAGUUCAUACUGCGGGGCUGGAGGGAGACAGAGGUAAGCGGAACUGAUGGUGGAGCGGUGAAAUGCGUUGAUAUCAUCAGGAACAACGGUGGCGAAAGCGGCUUACUGGGUCUCUUCUGACGCUGAGGAACGAAAGCUAGGGGAGCGAACGGGAUUAGAUACCCGGGUAGUC